rnacentral:rRNA from 1 species
CAAGGCUAAAUACUCCUGACUGACCGAUAGUGAACCAGUACCGUGAGGGAAAGGCGAAAAGAACCCCGGCGAGGGGAGUGAAAAAGAACCUGAAACCGUGUACGUACAAGCAGUGGGAGCCCCACCACUAAGCCAGUGGUGAACUCCACAUACGCAUCCUUUGCUGAGGAUACGGUUAACGGAGCGAAAGCGACGUUCAACCGCAAAAGAAGCAGAGGGGGCUUAGUGGUGGGGUGACUGCGUACCUUUUGUAUAAUGGGUCAGCGACUUAUAUUCUGUAGCAAGGUUAACCGUAUAGGGGAGCCGGAGGGAAACCGAGUCUUAACCGGGCGUUAAGUUGCAGGGUAUAGACCCGAAACCCGGUGAUCUAGCCAUGGGCAGGUUGAAGGUUGGGUAACACUAACUGGAGGACCGAACCGACUAAUGUUGAAAAAUUAGCGGAUGACCUGUGGCUGGGGGUGAAAGGCCAAUCAAACCGGGAGAUAGCUGGUUCUCCCCGAAAGCUAUUUAGGUAGCGCCUCGUGAAUUCAUCUCCGGGGGUAGAGCACUGUUUCGGCUAGGGGGCCAUCCCGGCUUACCAACCCGAUGCAAACUGCGAAUACCGGAGAAUGUUAUCACGGGAGACACACGGCGGGUGCUAACGUCCGUCGUGAAGAGGGAAACAACCCAGACCGCCAGCUAAGGUCCCAAAGUCAUGGUUAAGUGGGAAACGAUGUGGGAAGGCCCAGACAGCCAGGAUGUUGGCUUAGAAGCAGCCAUCAUUUAAAGAAAGCGUAAUAGCUCACUGGUCGAGUCGGCCUGCGCGGAAGAUGUAACGGGGCUAAACCAUG